CCUACGGGAGGCAGCAGUGAGGAAUAUUGGUCAAUGGGCGCGAGCCUGAACCAGCCAAGUAGCGUGAAGGAUGACUGCCCUACGGGUUGUAAACUUCUUUUAUAAAGGAAUAAAGUGAGGCACGUGUGCCUUUUUGUAUGUACUUUAUGGAUAAGGAUCGGCUAACUCCGUGCCAGCAGCCGCGGUAAUACGGAGGAUCCGAGCGUUAUCCGGAUUUAUUGGGUUUAAAGGGAGCGUAGAUGGGUUGUUAAGUCAGUUGUGAAAGUUUGCGGCCCAACCGUAAAAUUGCAAUUGAUACUGGCAGUCGUGAGUACAGUUGAGGUAGGCGGAAUUCGUGGUGUAGCGGUGAAAUGCUUAGAUAUCACGAAGAACUCCGAUUGCGAAGGCAGCGUACUAAACUGCCACUGACAUUGAUGCGCGAAAGUGUGGGGAGCAAACAGGAUUAGAUACCCUAGUAGUC
rnacentral:rRNA from 1 species